UACGGGGGGUGCGAGCGUUGUCCGGAAUCACUGGGCGUAAAGCGCGCGUAGGCGGACCUGCAAGUCGGGGGUGAAAGCCCGAGGCUCAACCUCGGAACUGCCUUCGAUACUGCGGGUCUCGAGUCCGGGAGAGGUGAGUGGAAUUCCUAGUGUAGAGGUGAAAUUCGUAGAUAUUAGGAAGAACACCAGUGGCGAAGGCGGCUCACUGGCCCGGUACUGACGCUGAGGCGCGAAAGCGUGGGGAGCAAACAGG
rnacentral:rRNA from 1 species